UACGUAGGGGGCAAGCGUUGUCCGGAUUUAUUGGGCGUAAAGAGCGUGUAGGCGGCCAUACAGGUCCGUUGUGAAAACUGGAGGCUUAACCUCCAGACGUCGAUGGAAACCGUAUGGCUAGAGUCCGGAAGAGGAGAGUGGAAUUCCUGGUGUAGCGGUGAAAUGCGCAGAUAUCAGGAAGAACACCCGUGGCGAAGGCGGCUCGCUGGGACGGUACUGACGCUGAUGCGCGAAAGCCAGGGGAGCGAACGGG
rnacentral:rRNA from 1 species